rnacentral:rRNA from 1 species
GGUCCCAGUUCAGAUUGCAGGCUGCAACCCGCCUGCAUGAAGUCGGAAUUGCUAGUAAUCGCGGAUCAGCAUGCCGCGGUGAAUACGUUCCCGGGCCUUGUACACACCGCCCGUCACACCAUGGGAGCCGGUAAUACCCGAAGUCAGUAGUCCAACCACGUGAGGACGCUGCCGAAGGUAGGAUUGGCGACUGGGGUGAAGUCGUAACAAGGUACC